rnacentral:ncRNA from 1 species
AAUCAUAUCAUAGACCUCAAAAUAAUCAUAAAAUAAUUAUUUCUAUCUCGGAUUUUGUGGUCACGAAACCACUAGUCCGACUAGGCCCAAAAUCAGGAUAUUACAACGGCAGCCGUAACUAUAACAAUACUAAGGUAGCAAAAUUCCUUGUUGGGUAAUUUUUGACCCGCAUGAAAGACAUAACGAUCUGGGUACUGUCUAGGAGAGAGGCUUGGUGAGAUAGACAUGUCUAUGAAGAUGAAGACUACUCGUAUCUAAAUAAAAAACCCUAUGAAACUUCACUGUUCCCUAGGAUUGGUUUUGGGCUUUUCCUGCGUAGUUUAGGUGGAAGGCGAAGAAGGCCUCCUUCCGGGGGGGCCGAGCCAUCAGUGAGAUACUACUCUGGAAGAGCUAGAAUUCUAACCUUGUAUCAGGACCUACGGGCCAAAUGACAAUCUCAGGUAGAUAGUUUCUAUGGGGCGUAGGACUUCCAAAAGGUAACAGAGGCAUGCAAAGGUUUCCUUGGGCCGGACGAAGAUUGGUCCUUAAGUGCAAAGGCAGAAGAAAGCUUGACUGCAAGACCCACCUAUUGAACAGGGAUGAAAGUCAGCCUUAGUGAUCUGAUGGUGCUGAGUGGAAGGGCCAUCGCUCAAUAGAUAAAACUUACUCUAGGGAUAACAGCUUGAUCUUCCCCAAGAGCUUACAUCGAUGGGAAGGUUUGGCACCUUCAUGUCGACUCUUUGCCACUUAGGGCUGUAGUAUGUUCCAAAAGUUAGGUUGUUCACCCAUUAAAGUGGUACAUGAGCUGGGUUCACAACGUCGUGAGAUGGGUCGGUCCAUAUCCAGUUUGGGUAUUAGAGCGUUGAGAGGACUUUCCUUAAUACGAGAGGACCGGGAAGGACUGGGGUACUAGUUAUCGUGCCUACGGUAAACGCUGGGUAGCCAAGUGUAGAGCGGAUAACUGCUGAAAGCAUCUAAGUUGUAAGCCCACCCCAAUAUGAGUGCUCUUGUAUUCCGACUUCCCUAGAGCAUCCAGUUACACAGCCGAGACGGUAAGGGGUUCUUUAUCCCUACAGGGAUCGAGUGACAGAAGUUUUGAGAAUUUAAAAGAAGGUCACUAUGAGACGAGCCAUUUAUCAUUACGAUAGGUGUCAAGUAGAAGUGCAGUGAUGUAUGCAGCUGAGGCAUCCUAACAGACAGAUAGACUUGAACCU